rnacentral:rRNA from 1 species
AAUCAACGCUGGCGGCGUGCCUCAGACAUGCAAGUCGAACGAGAAAGUUCCCUUCGGGGAAUGAGUAAAGUGGCGCACGGGUGAGUAACACGUAGGUAAUCUACCUUCGGGUGGGGAAUAACCCAGGGAAACUUGGGCUAACACCGCAUAAUGCAGCGGCACCACAUGGUGACAGUUGUUAAAGCGGGGGAUUUUAGGACCUCGCGCCUGAAGAGGAGCCUGCGGCGGAUUAGCNGUUGGUAAGGUAACGGCUUACCAAGGCGACGAUCCGUAGCCGGCCUGAGAGGGCGGUCGGCCACACUGACACUGACAUACGGGUCAGACUCCUACGGGAGGCAGCAGUCGGGAAUUUUGGGCAAUGGGCGAAAGCCUGACCCAGCAACGCCGCGUGAAGGAUGAAAUCCCUCGGGAUGUAAAC